CUCGCGUCCCGCUUGAAAAACAAGCAGCCACUGCCCACAGCCCACUACGGUGACAGGACUGACUCGAUUGUUCAACAUCAUAUCAGUCUGGCCAGACUCCUUCCACCGUACGGCGGCCCUCGUUCGGCAGCUUCAGCAAGCCAUGGCAUGCGCUCGUCUCCGCGUCCGGUCGUCGCCGCCGGCGGUGCUGCCCCUCCUCCUCCUGCUGCUGAUGCUGGCGCCGGCGUUUCUGCACGGUGCUGCCAGCGACGAGCCUCAGAUGGUGCCUGAGGUCGUCGUGAGGCUGGAGGUAGUAUCCUCCAGCCCGAAGGGGCGAGAAGGCCGUUCCUUACCUCCGGCGAAACUGGCGCGACCCCUUCGGAUUAUAGCAGCGUUUGACGGGAGCCAUGUGAUUCCUGUCUCCCCGGGAGUGGGACACCGCUAGGCACGGUGAUGCAAGUCGCGCAGGUUGGCAGGUCCAGCUGAUGAGAUCUAUGGAGUCUGCUGGUCUGGUAUAGCAAAAUGCAAAAGAAAAAAAAAGAGAAAAUGAGCUAUACAUCUACAGGACCUGACUAAUGCACAGCCGGCUAUAAAUUAAACUGGUUGACUGGUGGUUGUACGGAUCGGCAAACAGAUUUGCAGAUUUAUUAGCUAACUUCCACUCCUCUUGUGGAAAGUACUAGUUUAUUUUUUUUCAAAAGUAAAAGGUUGUUAUGGACAGUGCUCGGUGCCAAGCAGCUCCCGCCGUUUUACUGCCAGGAAAACAAGCAGUCCACAGGCUCUUUGCCGAGUGUGGCACUCGGCAUACCGCACGUUGGCGGAGCGGCCUCAACAGAGGCUAUGCCGAGUGCCGGACGGAAAGCACUCGGCAAACUUGGUGACUUUGCCGAGUGCCGGAUCUACAGCACUCGGCAAAGUUUCAAAGUUUCAAACUUUGUCGAGUGUUUGACUUGGCAUAGCUCCCGUCUUUGCUGAGUGUAUUUACCAUGACACUCGGCAAAUUUAAAGUAUUUAUUUUUGUUUU